rnacentral:rRNA from 1 species
UACGUAGGUUGCGAGCGUUGUCCGGAUUUACUGGGCGUAAAGGGAGCGUAGGCGGUUUUUUAAGUGGGGUGUGAAAUCCCUGGGCUUAACCCAGGAAUUGCAUUCCAAACUGGAAGACUAGAGUGCAGGAGAGGAAAGUGGAAUUCCAAGUGUAGCGGUGAAAUGCGUAGAGAUUUGGAGGAACACCAGUGGCGAAGGCGACUUUCUGGACUGUAACUGACGCUGAGGCUCGAGAGCGUGGGGAGCAAACAGG